ensembl:lncRNA
CUCAAGGAUGAUGAAACAGGAUGCACCUAAGCUAAAUUUGGAGUGUCAUGGCAAAGGCUUCUGUUCCCAGGUUUUGAUUAAGUGGGAUUCUUCGUUCAGCGCAACGGGUUGAGAGCAGAUUUUAAAUUCAUUUUGGGAGCAGUUAACAGAUCGAGGUUACAACCUUAACGAUGCGGUUUCCUGCCAGCAGCUCCAACCCAACCUAGACCUUCAUGAGGUCACAGAGCCCCUCCGCUGACGCUAUGGAAGAGAAAUGUAUGCGACACCUCAAAUGCAUUUACUUUAACUUUGAGCUACUAGAACUUGCCAAAAUAGCAUGUACCCCAUGCAUAAAAUGUCAUUGUUUCCCUUUCUGUUCUUCUGUUCUUAGCAAUCACAGCCCCAAACAAGUAACCAAUGGAGCUGCUAUAAAUAUGUAGAGAGGAUAAGACAAGUGUUCUUUACUCUGCUUGAAGCAACAGACCCUGUCAGUUAUUUUCCAUAAUUGUAACGUAUGUUACGUCACAGAAAACCAAAUUAGCAGAAACUGUAGUUACCCAAUACGCCACCCAGCUAGCUAACUAUGGUUAUUGAGCUACAAGAUUAAACUGACUAAGAAGUUUCAAAUAAUUCACGGAAUUUUCUCUGCUGACAAAACUUAUCAAAGCUCAUAAUUCAUGGUUCAAGGACCGAUUCGUUGGUAUCCAAAGGUCAGGAAUGCUAUUUUUAACAACAUGUUUUCCCAAUAUGGUAUAACUAUGUUAAGUUGAGUAAAACAUCUGACCUGUCGUCUUCCACCACGGGAAUUAGCAAUAUGGGCAACGAAAAAAUAUUGACAUUUAAAUGUGAAUAUCAGAAGAUACAUGUGCCAUAUGGAAUUGACAAUACUUCAUUAUUUAGGAUAUGUCUUUAGAUGAAAAAAGGGACUUUCAUGUCCCUGUGGCUCACUCUCUUUUUACUCUUGUCAAAUCCCUAUUUGAAGACUAAAAGCUAAAAGUGGAUGUUCAAAACCUUUGUUGCUGUUGCUGUGUCAAGCAUUUGAUAUGUGUGACUGAAACCAUAGCUUAUCCUCACCUACUGGAGCAUUCAAAGCUCAGGCCUGGUUUGUUUGUGUGUAAGAGAGUCAGCGAUAAGGGGUUGAAUGUGAAAAGCAAAUGCCACGAGGGGCGGUGACAGGUCUGUCAAGACCAAUACUCACCUCCACAGACAUUCCGGCUCGGAAAAAUUACAAUAAAUUGUAUUUAAUCAUCUAAUGUAUGCUUUCAAGAAUUUGAUGAUUUACAUGGCAGAAUGACAAUUGCUCUUUUCUUGACUUUUGACACAUGUGCAAAAUCAACUCUCUCAGGAUGUUAUUUUGGUUGACCUCCCAUGAUGUGCGAAAGGCUUACUAUGUAGUGUGUCCUUACCUUCCAGCAGCUGUUCUAUUUGUAUUCACAUACAUGCAAACCCGUGAUAAAGAGUUUUAAGAAUGAACACAGACGGUGUUGAGAUAAUUGCUCC